AUUGAUCUGCAAAAGAACAACUUUCUAUCUUGAGAACUGUAGGAGGAGUUAUCCGUACAAUGAGGGACCACAACCUGAACAUAAAGCACUACCACUGCUUCAUCCACAAGCUGAGGACCCUCCAGAAGAAUCUCCGAAGCAUUCGACUCAAAACCAGACUGGCUGCGGGACAAGACAGAGAAGCCUUUAUCCAACGACUAGCCACCUGCAUCCGUGCCAGGAUCAGGUAUAAGCUGGUGAAGAUUCGCAGACUGUGCAGGGUGGAUGCUACAUUCCUACGUCAUGCACAGAAUGCUGUCCUCAAUAUUUUACCCUGCUUUUCGGGCAUACACGACAAGUGUAGGAGAAGUUCAUUUACCUGUUGUGCCCAUCUUCCUGGCUACACUACCUUCCGUAUGGAAAACACCUGGACCUGGACUUUGCCGACAUGGAAGCCAUUCAGUCCGUCAUCUGCAAGCAUUUCGGCGAUGAUGGUCUCCGGAAAGUCUGCACAGUAA
rnacentral:sRNA from 1 species